GCUGGGCACAGUGGUGCAUGCCUGUAAUCCCAGAGGCUUGGGAGGCUGAGGCAGGAGGAUCGCAAGUUCAAAGCCAGCCUCAGCAAAAAUGAGGUGCUAAGCAACUCCGUGAGACCCUGUAUCU
rnacentral:sRNA from 1 species